GACGGAGGAUGCAAGCGUUAUCCGGAAUGAUUGGGCGUAAAGCGUCCGCAGGUGGCAGUUCAAGUCUGCUGUCAAAGACCGGGGCUUAACUUCGGAAAGGCAGUGGAAACUGAACAGCUAGAGUAUGGUAGGGGCAGAGGGAAUUCCUGGUGUAGCGGUGAAAUGCGUAGAUAUCUGGAGGAACACCGGUGGCGAAGGCGGCAUCCUGGACCAAUAUUGACGCUGAGGAGCGAAAGCCAGGGGAGCAAACGGG
rnacentral:rRNA from 1 species